UACGGAGGGUGCAAGCGUUUAUCCGGAUUCACUGGGUUUAAAGGGUGCGUAGGUGGGCAAGUAAGUCAGUGGUGAAAUCUCCGGGCUUAACCCGGAAACUGCCAUGGAUACUAUGUGUCUUGAAUGUUGUUGAGGUGAGCGGAAUAUGUCAUGUAGCGGUGAAAUGCUUAGAUAUGACAUAGAACACCAAUUGCGAAGGCAGCUGGCUACACAAUUAUUGACACUGAGGCUCGAAAGCGUGGGGAUCAAACAGG
rnacentral:rRNA from 1 species